rnacentral:rRNA from 1 species
UACAGAGGGUGCGAGCGUUAAUCGGAAUUACUGGGCGUAAAGCGCGCGUAGGCGGCUUUGCAAGUCGGGUGUGAAAUCCCCAGGCUUAACCUGGGAACUGCAUUUGUGACUGCAUCGCUGGAGUGCGGCAGAGGGGGAUGGAAUUCCGCGUGUAGCAGUGAAAUGCGUAGAUAUGCGGAGGAACACCGAUGGCGAAGGCAAUCCCCUGGGCCUGCACUGACGCUCAUGCACGAAAGCGUGGGGAGCAAGCAGG